rnacentral:rRNA from 1 species
CGGGUGAGUAAUGGAUAAGUAACCUGCCCUUAAGUGGGGGAUAACACUUCGAAAGAAGUGCUAAUACCGCAUGUGGUGCUCUUUCACAAGAAGGAUCACUAAAACCGCAAGGUGCUUGAGGAGGGGCUUGUCUCCGAUUAGCUAGUUGGUGGGGUAACGGCCUACCAAGGCGAUGAUCGGUAGCUGGUCUGAGAGGAUGGUCAGCCACACUGGGACUGAGACACGGCCCAGACUCCUACGGGAGGCAGCAGCAAGGAAUCUUGGGCAAUGGGCGAAAGCCUGACCCAGCGACGCCGCGUGAGGGAUGACGGCCUUCGGGUUGUAAACCUCUUUUCUCAGGGAAGAAUAAUGACGGUACCUGAGGAAUAAGUCUCGGCUAACUACGUGCCAGCAGCCGCGGUAAUACGUAGGAGGCGAGCGUUAUCCGGAUUUAUUGGGCGUAAAGUGGGCGUAGGUGGUCUUUCAAGUCGGAUGUGAAAUCUCCCGGCUCAACUGGGAGGGGUCAUCCGAUACUGUUGGACUUGAGUACAGCAGGGGAAAAUGGAAUUCCCGGUGUAGUGGUGAAAUGCGUAGAUAUCGGGAGGAACACCAGAGGCGAAGGCGAUUUUCCAGGCUGAAACUGACACUGAGGCCCGAAAGCGUGGGGAGCGAACAGGAUUAGAUACCCUGGUAGUCCACGCCUUAAACUUUAUUUCUAGGUAUAGGG